rnacentral:rRNA from 1 species
GUGGUAAAGAACUUUGUGUCUGACCCAUCAAUCUAAGUUAAACUUCCAAGAAAAGCUCGAACUACCGUUAAACCUAUAUGACCUGUACCCGAAACCGACACAGGUAGGUGGUGAGAGAAUCAUAAGGGGCGCGAGAUAACUCUCUCUAAGGAACUCGGCAAAAUGGCCCCGUAACUUCGGGAGAAGGGGUACCUGAACUUCGUUCAGGUCGCAGUGACCAGGCCCAGGCGACUGUUACCAAAAACACAGGUCUCCGCAAAGUCGUAAGACAAUAUAUGGGGGCUGACGCCUGCCCAGUGCCGGAAGGUGAAGGAAGUUGGUUCGUUAUCAUUUGGUGACAAAGCUGACAACCGAAGCCCCGGUGAACGGCGGCCGUAACUCUGACGGUCCUAAGGUAGCGAAAUUCCUUGUCGAGUAAGUUUCGACCCGCACGAAAGGCGUAACGAUCUGGGCACUGUCUCGGAGAGAGGCUCGGUGAAAUAGACAUGUCUGUGAAGAUGCGGACUACCUGCACCUGGACAGAAAGACCCUGUGCAGCUUGACUGUAGCUUGGAAUUGGGUUUGGGCUCUUCUUGCGCAGUCUAGGUGGGAGGCUUUGAAAGAAUUCUUCUGGGAAUUCUGGAGCCAUCAGUGAGAGACCACUCUGGAGGAGCUAGAAUCCUAAUGGCGGUCCUUGAAUCAGGACGCUUGACAGUUUCAGGUGGGCAGUUUCUUUGGGGCGAAGUUCUCCUAAAAGGUAACGGAGAAGCGCAAAGGUUCCCUCAGGCUGGACGGAAAUCAGUCUUAGAGCGCAAAGGUAAAAGGGAGCUUGACUGCAAGACCCACAAGUCGAGCAGGGGCGAAAGCCGGCCUUAGUGAUCCGACGCUACCGUGUGGAAGGGGCGUCGCUCAACGGAUAAAAGUUACGCCAGGAUAACAGGCUAAUCUUCCCCAAGAGUUCACAUCGACGGGAAGGUUUGGCACCUCGAUGUCGGCUCGUCGCAUCCUGGGGCUGUAGUAGGUCCCAAGGGUUGGGCUGUUCGCCCAUGAAAGCGGUACGUGAGCUGGGUUCAGAACGUCGUGAGACAGUUUGGUCCAUAUCCGGUGUAGGCGCGAGAGCAUUGAGAGGAGCUCUGGAUAGUACGAGAGGACUUUCAGGGAUGCGCCGAUUGUGUACCAGUUAUCACGCCAGUGGUAAACGCUGGGUAGCUAUGCGUGGAGGGAUAAGAGCUGAAAGCAUAUAAGUUUGAAGCCCACCUCAAGAUGAGUGCUCUUAGGUCACAGCUAGACAAGCUGGUAAUAGGUGCAAGGUGUAAGGCGGGCAACCGUUUCAGCCGAUGCAUACUAACAGACCGAAAGAUUUGAC